CAGUUUGGCUGUAGGAGGCCAGGCAGCAACAUUGCCUGGCUGUAGGGUUGUGGUGAAUGACCUGGAGGGCAGUGUCUCCUGUUGAUGUCACCUGGUCACAGCUGUAGAUGGGCAUGGCUGAUGAACUGCCUGGGCAUCUCUCCCCAGUGUGCUUCAUCGCUUGUUCUGCAUCCUGCAGGCAGAAAAUAAGGCCUGAAGGCACUUAAUGAAAUCAUCUAGUCCAAUCCAGUGUGCAAGCCUCAAGGCAGGAUCAUCCCA